AACUAGACUAAUUAGUCCAAUUUGACAAGUUAAAACAAGUUGCCAGGUCUAGUUGUUGUUCAUUACUUAAAUUUUUUCCCAAACAGAGGAACAAUGUUUCCCGGGUUCCCCGAUUUCCAGUUAACUCAGCUGAAAGAGAGAAUUUCAAUGUAUAAAAUCCUGAGGUCACGUGCAGCAAUCUUUGCCAAUGGAUUGAAGGACCCUCCUUCUCUGGCUCAGUUUGUCCUGAUACUUGAUAGAGUUCUUCAACGGAAGCCAUAGCUUCUGUAGCAGACAAAUUUUGAGGGUUGAAGAAAUAAUCAUGGGCGUCCUCAAUCUUCAGCUCGCCGACAUCCGUACAGGAAGGGCAUCUGUAUGAUGCCACAAUCUGCUGCGUUCUCCUUCCUUUUUGGAUUCUCCUAGAACAAGUCCUCUGCCCAUUUUCUGUAGUAAAUCAUGCAUCCACAAUCUUCCCCCUACGAUGCUUACUAAAGAUUUCUCACAAAGGAUGGUUAUGUUGAUGCCUGGAUAGUAGCCACAACUUUCAAAUAUCUUUUCUAGACGACAUACAUCCUCGCCUUUGAAGAAACAUGCAGUGUCCAGAAACAUGUCCUGCUGUUCUUGAUUCUCUAAUCCAUCAAAACUUGCUUUAAGAACACCAAUAAUUUUCUUCUCACCGGAGUAGCCUUUAUCUUUUAAAGACUUCAAUUUGGUAGACCAAUAAUCUUCUUCUCUUUUCCAUAAUGAGUGACCGAAAACUUCAAGAGCCAAUGGAUGACCAUCAAUGUAAUCUACAAAUUCGUUAGACAACUUCUUAAAAGCAUCCGUGGGAUGGUCUGUUUUGAGGGCUUUCCGACAGAAGAGAAGAAGAGCUUGAUCCGGAGUAAGUUUCUCAAUUGUGUAUAUUUCUGGGUUAUAAUCUAUCAACAACCUUUCAUCUGUUGUGGUUA